AGGGUUUGACAUCCCGAGAAUUAAUCCGAAAGGAUUGAGUGCCGCAAGGAACUCGGUGACAGAUGAUGCAUGGCCGUCGUCAGCUCGUGUCGUGAGAUGUUUGGUUAAGUCCAUUAACGAGCGCAACCCUUGUGAAUAGUUGUAUUUUUCUAUUCAGACUGCCCCGGUAACGGGGAGGAAGGUGGGGAUGACGUUACGGUCUUACU
rnacentral:misc_RNA from 1 species